GUUGUCGUGGCUGAGUGGUUCAGGCGAUGGACUAGAAAUCCAUGGUGGUGUCCCCACGCAGGUUUGAAUCCUGCCAAUAAUG
rnacentral:tRNA from 1 species